AACAAACGCUGGCGGCGUGCCUAAUACAUGCAAGUCGAACGGGGAAAGCUUUCGGGUGAGUACUAGUGGCGCACGGGUGAGUAACGCGUGGAUAAUCUGCCUUAGAGUGGGGGAUAACUAGUCGAAAGAUUAGCUAAUACCGCAUAAGACCACAAGAACUGCGGUUCAAGGGGUCAAAGGUUUUUCGCUCUAAGAUGAGUCCGCGUAAGAUUAGCUAGUUGGUAGGGUAACGGCCUACCAAGGCGACGAUCUUUAACUGGUCUGAGAGGAUGAUCAGUCACACUGGAACUGGGGCACGGUCCAGACUCCUACGGGAGGCAGCAGUAGGGAAUAUUGCACAAUGGAGGAAACUCUGAUGCAGCGACGCCGCGUGAGUGAUGAAGGCCUUCGGGUCGUAAAGCUCUGUCGCAGGGGAAUAACACAAUGAAGGUACCCUGUAAGAAAGGAUCGGCUAACUUCGUGCCAGCAGCCGCGGUAACAC
rnacentral:rRNA from 1 species